rnacentral:rRNA from 1 species
CCUACGGGUGGCAGCAGUGGGGAAUAUUGCACAAUGGGCGGAAGCCUGAUCCAGCAACGCCGCGUGAAGGAAGAAGUAUUUCGGCACGUAAAGCUCUAUCAGCAGGGACGAAAGAAAUGACGGUACCUGACUAAGAAGCCCCGGCUAACUACGUGCCAGCAGCCGCGGUAAUACGUAGGGGGCAAGCGUUAUCCGGAUUUACUGGGUGUAAAGGGAGCGUAGACGGCGAUGCAAGUGUGAAGUGAAAGGCGGGGGCCCAACCCGUGGACUGCAUUUGAAACUGUAAGGCUGGAGUGCAGGAGAGGAAAGCGGAAUUCCUAGUGUAGCGGUGAAAUGCGUAGAUAUUAGGAGGAACACCAGUGGCGAAGGCGGCUUUCUGGACUGAAACUGACGCUGAGGCACGAAAGCGUGGGGAGCGAACAGGAUUAGAUACCCCUGUAGUC